rnacentral:rRNA from 1 species
UUUAUGGAGAGUUUGAUCCUGGCUCAGGAUGAACGCUGGCGGCGUGCCUAAUACAUGCAAGUCGAGCGAACGGACGAGAAGCUUGCUUCUCUGAUGUUAGCGGCGGACGGGUGAGUAACACGUGGAUAACCUACCUAUAAGACUGGGAUAACUUCGGGAAACCGGAGCUAAUACCGGAUAAUAUUUUGAACCGCAUGGUUCAAAAGUGAAAGACGGUCUUGCUGUCACUUAUAGAUGGAUCCGCGCUGCAUUAGCUAGUUGGUAAGGUAACGGCUUACCAAGGCAACGAUGCAUAGCCGACCUGAGAGGGUGAUCGGCCACACUGGAACUGAGACACGGUCCAGACUCCUACGGGAGGCGCAGUAGGGAAUCUUCCGCAAUGGGCGAAAGCCUGACGGAGCAACGCCGCGUGAGUGAUGAAGGUCUUCGGAUCGUAAAACUCUGUUAUUAGGGAAGAACAUAUGUGUAAGUAACUGUGCACAUCUUGACGGUACCUAAUCAGAAAGCCACGGCUAACUACGUGCCAGCGUACCGCGGUAAUACGUAGGUGGCAAGCGUUAUCCGGAAUUAUUGGGCGUAAAGCGCGCGUAGGCGGUUUUUUAAGUCUGAUGUGAAAGCCCACGGCUCAACCGUGGAGGGUCAUUGGAAACUGGAAAACUUGAGUGCAGAAGAGGAAAGUGGAAUUCCAUGUGUAGCGGUGAAAUGCGCAGAGAUAUGGAGGAACACCAGUGGCGAAGGCGACUUUCUGGUCUGUAACUGACGCUGAUGUGCGAAAGCGUGGGGAUCAAACAGGAUUAGAUACCCUGGUAGUCCACGCCGUAAACGAUGAGUGCUAAGUGUUAGGGGGUUUCCGCCCCUUAGUCUUUGCGACUAACGCAUUAAGCACUCCGCCUGGGGAGUACGACCGCAAGGUUGAAACUCAAAGGAAUUGACGGGGACCCGCACAAGCGGUGGAGCAUGUGGUUUAAUUCGAAGCAACGCGAAGAACCUUACCAAAUCUUGACAUCCUUUGACAACUCUAGAGAUAGAGCUUUCCCCUUCGGGGGACAAAGUGACAGGUGGUGCAUGGUUGUCGUCAGCUCGUGUCGUGAGAUGUUGGGUUAAGUCCCGCAACGAGCGCAACCCUUAAGCUUAGUUGCCAUCAUUAAGUUGGGCACUCUAAGUUGACUGCCGGUGACAAACCGGAGGAAGGUGGGGAUGACGUCAAAUCAUCAUGCCCCUUAUGAUUUGGGCUACACACGUGCUACAAUGGACAAUACAAAGGGCAGCGAAACCGCGAGGUCAAGCAAAUCCCAUAAAGUUGUUCUCAGUUCGGAUUGUAGUCUGCAACUCGACUACAUGAAGCUGGAAUCGCUAGUAAUCGUAGAUCAGCAUGCUACGGUGAAUACGUUCCCGGGUCUUGUACACACCGCCCGUCACACCACGAGAGUUUGUAACACCCGAAGCCGGUGGAGUAACCUUUUAGGAGCUAGCCGUCGAAGGUGGGACAAAUGAUUGGGGUGAAGUCGUAACAAGGUAGCCGUAUCGGAAGGUGCGGCUGGAUCACCUCCUUU